GUCUCCUUAGCUCAGCGGUAGAGCACUUCGCUGUUAACGAAGGGGUCCAAGGUUCGAAACCUUGAGGGGACGCAA
rnacentral:tRNA from 1 species